UACGUAGGUGGCAAGCGUUGUCCGGAUUUAUUGGGUUUAAAGGGUGCGUAGGCGGCCCUGUAAGUCAGUGGUGAAAUACUCUAGCUUAACUAGAGGGGUGCCAUUGAUACUGCAGGGCUUGAGUGAAGUCGAGGUAGGCGGAAUUGACGGUGUAGCGGUGAAAUGCUUAGAUAUCGUCAAGAACACCGAUAGUGUAGACAGCUUACUAGGCUUCAACUGACGCUGAGGCACGAAAGUGUGGGGAUCAAACAGG
rnacentral:rRNA from 1 species